AGAGUUUGAUCCUGGCUCAGGAUGAACGCUGGCGGCGUGCUUAACACAUGCAAGUCGAGCGAUGAAGUUUCCUUCGGGAAACGGAUUAGCGGCGGACGGGUGAGUAACACGUGGGUAACCUGCCUCAUAGAGUGGAAUAGCCUUCCGAAAGGAAGAUUAAUACCGCAUAAUGUUGAAAGAUGGCAUCAUCAUUCAACCAAAGGAGCAAUCCGCUAUGAGAUGGACCCGCGGCGCAUUAGCUAGUUGGUGGGGUAACGGCCCACCAAGGCGACGAUCAGUAGCCGACCUGAGAGGGUGAUCGGCCACAUUGGAACUGAGACACGGUCCAAACUCCUACGGGAGGCAGCAGUGGGGAAUAUUGCACAAUGGGCGCAAGCCUGAUGCAGCAACGCCGCGUGAGCGAUGAAGGCCUUCGGGUCGUAAAGCUCUGUCCUCAAGGAAGAUAAUGACGGUACUUGAGGAGGAAGCCCCGGCUAACUACGUGCCAGCAGCCGCGGUAAUACGUAGGGGGCUAGCGUUAUCCGGAUUUACUGGGCGUAAAGGGUGCGUAGGCGGUCUUUCAAGUCAGGAGUUAAAGGCUACGGCUCAACCGUAGUAAGCUCCUGAUACUGUCUGACUUGAGUGCAGGAGAGGAAAGCGGAAUUCCCAGUGUAGCGGUGAAAUGCGUAGAUAUUGGGAGGAACACCAGUAGCGAAGGCGGCUUUCUGGACUGUAACUGACGCUGAGGCACGAAAGCGUGGGGAGCAAACAGGAUUAGAUACCCUGGUAGUCCACGCUGUAAACGAUGAAUACUAGGUGUGGGAGGACUGACCCCUUCCGUGCCGCAGUUAACACAAUAAGUAUUCCACCUGGGGAGUACGACCGCAAGGUUGAAACUCAAAGGAAUUGACGGGGGCCCGCACAAGCAGUGGAUUAUGUGGUUUAAUUCGACGCAACGCGAAGAACCUUACCAGGAUUUGACAUCCCACUAACGAAGCAGAGAUGCAUUAGGUGCCCUUCGGGGAAAGUGGAGACAGGUGGUGCAUGGUUGUCGUCAGCUCGUGUCGUGAGAUGUUGGGUUAAGUCCCGCAACGAGCGCAACCCCUAUUGUUAGUUGCUACGAAAGAGCACUCUAGCAAGACUGCCGUUGACAAAACGGAGGAAGGCGGGGACGACGUCAAAUCAUCAUGCCCCUUAUGUCCUGGGCUACACACGUAAUACAAUGGCGGUCAACAAAGGGAAGCAAUACCGCGAGGUGGAGCAAAUCCCCAAAAGCUGUCUCAGUUCGGAUUGCAGGCUGCAACUCGCCUGCAUGAAGCUGGAAUUGCUAGUAAUCGUGGAUCAGCAUGCCACGGUGAAUACGUUCCCGGGCCUUGCACUCACCGCCCGUCA
rnacentral:rRNA from 1 species